GCGAAACCUAUUCUCACGAACGAGAGAAACGAAUUCACGAACGACUAAAUAAAAAGUUUGUUGUUGUGCGCCGUCGAUCAUGUUGCUGUCCUCCGUCAGUCGUAUUGACACGAGUGUGUUGCUAUGAUUGAUUCUCGUAUUUCUGGUUGUUGUGAGUGCUCCGGUUGUAUUGUUCGUUUCUUAUUUUUCAAUAAAUAUUUAUGUGUGACCGUGUUAUUCUUUUGAUUGAGGAAUGAGUUGCUGUUGUAUGUGUUUGCUUACAUUAUUAUGUAGUUCUUCAUGUUGAUUAUUCACUAUAUUUGGUGAAACACUUUCAUUAGAUUGAUUAUGUUCCUUCACUAAAUUAUGCUGCAUCAUACCAUUCUCCUCGUGUAAACUGAUUAAUGUUCUACUUUUUGUACCUCCAGUAUCAUUCAAAAAAUGUUUCAUUAAGAGAAAGGAUAAACUUUCAUUAGUUGUAUAUAUUCUCACAUCUUGUUUAGGGGUAUGAGUGAAAAAAUGUUUCUAUAAGAGAAAGGCUAAACAUUCACCACCACAUUUUAUUAAUUCUUGAUUUGUUUAAAUUACUCAUUGCUGUUUGAUACCAGGUUGAAUUUCUGACAUUUGAUCAUUGUUAAUGUUGUUUUGGUUCAUUGUAGGACAUUAUCGACGAAUUUUCAUGGAGUUCUGCUAAUGAAAUUCAUCGGAUAUUUCGGACCUCUAAAAUAUUUGGAGUGACUUUGUUUCAGUAGGAGACUUGGAGUAGAAGACUGGUAUUUAUGUUGUUUACUUAUGUACAGAUGACAUAUCAAGUUGAGUGCAUUUUUGUUUCUUAUUGGAGAUGAAGUUGAAUAAGAAUGAGGUUGCAGAAUGGUGUUGCCAGAUUUUAUGACAUAAUGGAUAAAACCUCGUGUGGAAUUAAAGGCUUCUACUUCACUUCACAAUCCUUACAAUUACCUACUCAUGAUAAGAGGAGCACAUGUUUACUUGGCUGUCAGCAGGUUGGUGAAAAUGUUAUACUUUGAUUUUCUUAAUAAAGUAUGGAAGUGUUUGGCAUCAUAAGUUUUAAAAGAAAUAAAGCCAAUUUAGUAAAUAAGAAACCACAAUGAAAUGUUAGGAAUGACCCUUUUGCUUUGCAUUUUUAUGUGUUUAUAGAUUUAGGACAUUUUGACUAUACAUUUAUAUUUUUAUUAGAAUGUGAUACAUUUAUAUUCAUGCAAAUUGAAAUUGAUAAAAUGUGCAUAUAUUUGGAUCUCUUGAUCAUUAUUUUUUAAUAAGGAUCCAUCUCUAAGGUUAUCUGGCUAUGACUUUCAAAAUGGUAUGACCCUUAGAGGAUGAAUAAAAUGUACAUUGGAUAAGGAUUAUGUAGCAAUGUUAACACGACUCUUAUCAUCUUUUAUAGUUGCACAUUUUGGUCUUCAAAUAUUAUAAAUAGCUUGCAGUUUUAUAUUAUAAUCUAGAUAAUAAUUUAUUUAACAUGAGGCAUUCAUUACAACACCAAUAGAAGACUAUUGUAACAUCCUGCCAUAGUGCAUAAUUUUACAAUUUUAUUUCCUGCAAAACGUCUGAAACAUAGCAGUAGACGCUUGCCAAAGCCCAUUUUUACAGGCCUUCGAUAUAGACCACCCCUUUGUUCUUCAUCCAAACAUUACCCUGGAUAAGCUCUGCAACUGUAAACUUCCUUGCCUUUGCAGUAUUUAUGACAUGAUAACCAGACCAAUUCACUCUUUUGCCGGUACCAACAUCCGGUCACUGUUCAUGUACACCCGUAAUACAAUGUUUUGAGAAAGCCCUUACUCACGUCAUCCCAUUCAGGUCAUCCCUUGGGUCAAUGUGGUUGCCUAUUAAGGACUGAAUCACAACUGUCCUAGAGUGGUUUUUCCACUGGCGGCCUAGGUAUGUUUUGAUGGAGCUUGAGACAAAUUUGAGAUUCGUGCUUGGUAUUAUGUCACACUUAUGAAUUGUCCAGUUAAGUAUUUUGUUUUCAUUUUCUUAUGUUGUAAGGUAUCUAUGAAGAUGAUAAAGAGGGCGACAAUGUAAGUGAGGAAUUUUAAGAGGACGACAGAAGUGAUGAAUAUAAGGUAGAUGAUGAUUCAAGAGAACGGUAUAAGUGAUGAACUUCAAGAAGAUGACAUAGAUGAAGAGGAUGAUGAAUUCGAAAAACUUAAAUGAGUUGGAUGAUGCUCUUUUAGGUUUGUACUUAAGUAUUAAAUUACGUAUUUUGUCAUUUUUUUUUACUUAUAUUAAUAAGUAUUAAACGUAUAAUAUUAAUUAAUGUUAGAUAUUUUGUGUCUAUUGAGUGUAUUUGAGUUAAUGUUUGAAGAUUUUAUUAAUACAUUUUUGUGGUACAUGCAAU
rnacentral:lncRNA from 1 species